rnacentral:rRNA from 1 species
AACCUUUACAAUGCACGCAAGUGUGAUAAGGGGAUCCUAAGUGCUCAUGCAUUAGUAUGGGCUUUUUUCAAGAGUAAAUAUCUUGGAGAAUAAGUGGUGGGUAAGACUGGUGCCAGCCGCCGCGGUAACACCAGCGCCACAAGUGGCAACCGCGUUUAUUGGGCCUAAAGCGUCCGUAGCCGGUUGAAUAAAUCUUUUGUGAAAUCGUCAGGCUCAACUUGACGGCGUGCAGAAGACACUAUUCAACUCGAGACCGGGAGGAGUCAGAGGUAUUCCUGAGGGAGCGGUAAAAUGUGAUAAUCUCAGGAGGAUCACCUAUGGCGAAGGCAUCUGACCAGAACGGAUCUGACGGUGAGGGACGAAGGCUGGGGGAGCGAUCCGGAUUAGAUACCCGAGUAGUCCCAGCAGUAAACUCUGCUAGCAAGGUGUUGCAUAUUCUUGAGAAUGUGCAGUGUCGAAACGAAGGUGUUAAGCUAGCCGCCUGGGAAGUACGGUCGCAAGACUGAAACUUUAAGGAAUUGGCGGGGGAGCAC